UACGAAGGGGGCUAGCGUUGUUCGGAAUUACUGGGCGUAAAGCGCACGUAGGCGGCUUGUUAAGUCAGGGGUGAAAUCCCGGGGCUCAACCCCGGAACUGCCUUUGAUACUGGCAUUCUCGAGUCCGGAAGAGGUGAGUGGAAUUCCGAGUGUAGAGGUGAAAUUCGUAGAUAUUCGGAGGAACACCAGUGGCGAAGGCGGCUCACUGGUCCGGAACUGACGCUGAGGUGCGAAAGCGUGGGGAGCAAACAGG
rnacentral:rRNA from 1 species